rnacentral:lncRNA from 1 species
GGAGGAGGUGGAUGAGGAAGAUGAGGAGAACAAGGUGGACUAGGAUUUGUGCACGGAGAAGGACGAGGAGGAAAAGGACAAGGAAGCUGAGGGUAACAAGGUGGACGAGGAUUUGUGCUCGGCAACGCCUCCGAAGACUUUUUUCACACCGGCCAUCUAAUCCUCUGAGUCUGCAGCUUACAAUAAAGUUGUGGCAUCUAAGAGAUGUGAGAACUCGACUGAUAGGUCGGAAACCGAUGCAUCCUCUGCACAUCAGUCUGGUAGCAAUACUUCGGCGUGCGUACAAAUGCGACGUUGAAAAAAUGAGUGAUGGAUCAGUAUCUUACCGAAGAGAGAGAUGAUCUGGUGUAUGGGGGCUGUAUUCAAUCACGACUCGUUUCGUAAUUCAGCAGAGAAAGUGGCUUUAUUCAAAUACAUUUUCUCCGAAAUUGAUGAAGUCCAAAAAUUAGAACUCAAAUUCUGCGAAAGCCUUAACAAGAUUGCACAGAAACAACAAAUGCAUCUCAUUGUGAGAUAUUGGGACAAAGAAAAAAAUGAAGUAAGUACGUCGAGGUACCCGACGUCUGUUUUCCUGGAACAUACGACUGAAGAAGAUUUGUUGAAGGCUUUCAAAAGAGCCAUAGAUGGAUACGAUCUUGAAAAGAUUCUACAUGCAUCGAUGGACGGCUCACAUGUCAAUUUCAAAUUUUUUGGCUUCUCAAGGAGGACAUUAAAUCUGAGAAUGAUGACCUGAAACUUCUUGAUGUCGGUUGAUUCGGUAUUCAUUCGCUGCAUUGUGCAUUCCAAGCUAGGAUUUGCGGUACUGGUUAGGAAAUCAUCGAUUUUUUGAGAGCCUUAUAUAACUUUUUUAAAGACGGUCCUUCUCGACGAAAAGAGUUUAUAGGACAUUACAUGAGAAGGAAAUAUUGAAAGAAAUAUAAUGAAGAAUUAUAACAGACCUGAAGGAAGACUUGCUCAUUUUUUGAUGAGAACGUUGAGAAACACUGACGGUAACGAUCAUUUCAAAAUCUUCAUUAAAACAUUGCUCAUUAUAUCACAUGGUAAUGCGAACUUAGAAAGAGGCUUUUCGACCAACAAAGAAAAAUUCGUAGAAAAUCUUCAUGAACAAUCUGUGGUGCUACGGUAAGUUUACGAUGCUGUUAUCGCAGCUAGUGGGAUACACAAUGUUCCAAUCACUAAAGCACUUAUCCAUGCCGCAAGAAAUACUCACACGAGAUACAAGGCAGCUUUGGUGCAAAAAGCAACAGAGAACAAGGCCCAAGAACAUGAGAAUGAGCAAAAGAAGAGGGUCGCUCGGUAACAAAGAGAACUAUCAACAAAAAAGCUGAAAGUGCUCAAAGAAAUACACGAGAAAAAAAGCUGAUUUCGAAGAAAUUAAAAACCAGGCGAAGUCCGUUCAUCGAGCAUAGUGACGAAGAGAAGCAGUUACUAAAACAUUACCGUUCUCAAAAAUGUAUCUCUACCUAUCAUAUUGUACCGUUUUAUAAUUUGUGAUACUUUUUACUGGCAAGAACUGUUACAAGGGUUACCUAACGCACAUCUGGAUGUGUAUUAUCGCGCAAAACCCUCCCGGGGUACAUCUGACCCCGAUGUUCCAGAAAAACCAAUUCACAACCUAUGUUAAGUUAACUAGUCAAGUUACUUCCUCGUCUAUUUCUUCUUAUCUACGUAACGCGUAUAACACGAGCUACGGAUACAAUCAACGAGGAGAACUAUC